UACGUAGGGAGCAAGCGUUGUCCGGAAUCAUUGGGCGUAAAGCGCGCGUAGGUGGUCUCGUAAGUCCGCUGUGAAAGUCAACGGCUCAACUGUUGAAAGCCGGUAGAUACUGUCGGGCUAGAGUACGGAAGAGGCGAGUGGAAUUCCUGGUGUAGCGGUGGAAUGCGCAGAUAUCAGGAGGAACACCAAUAGCGAAGGCAGCUCGCUGGGACGUUACUGACGCUGAGGCGCGAAAGCGUGGGGAGCGAACAGG
rnacentral:rRNA from 1 species